GACAGAGGGUGCAAACGUUGUUCGGAAUUACUGGGCGUAAAGCGCGUGUAGGCUGCUUCGCAAGUCGGGUGUGAAAGCCCUGGGCUCAACCUAGGAAGUGCACUCGAAACUGCGAAGCUGGAGUCCUGGAGAGGAAGGCGGAAUUCUCGGUGUAGAGGUGAAAUUCGUAGAUAUCGAGAGGAACACCGGUGGCGAAGGCGGCCUUCUGGACAGUGACUGACGCUGAGACGCGAAAGCGUGGGGAGCGAACAGG
rnacentral:rRNA from 1 species